AGGAGUGUAGUUCAGAGGUAGAACAAAGCUCUCAUAAGGCUUAUGUCGUAGGUUCGACUCCUUCCACUCCUA
rnacentral:tRNA from 1 species